rnacentral:rRNA from 1 species
UACGAAGGGGGCUAGCGUUGCUCGGAAUGACUGGGCGUAAAGGGCGCGUAGGCGGCUCAUACAGUCAGAUGUGAAAUUCCUGGGCUUAACCUGGGGGCUGCAUUUGAUACGUGUGGGCUUGAGUGCGGCAGAGGGGGGUGGAAUUCCGCGUGUAGCAGUGAAAUGCGUAGAUAUGCGGAGGAACACCGAUGGCGAAGGCAAUCCCCCUGGGCCUGCACUGACGCUCAUGCACGAAAGCGUGGGGAGCAAACAGG